rnacentral:lncRNA from 8 species
AAAGUAACUCACCACUGUUCAGUAGCUAUAACAUCCUUAUCUCAAAGCAGUCUUCUUGUAGCCUGGCUGACGCACAGGCCCACGUGGUACACAGUGAGAGGAGAGCUUGUGGUACGUACAAACACAUUAGCCAGGCAAGUCUUCUUUCCCCACCUAGGGGCUGAUGUAUCCUAUCUAGGGGCUGAUGUAUCCUACCUAGGGGCUGAUGUGUACCACCUACGGGCUGAUGUGUACCACCUACGGGCUGAUGUGUACCACCUACGGGCUGAUGUAUCCUAUCUAGGGGCUGAUGUAUCCUAUCUAGGGGCUGAUGUAUCCUAUCUAGGGGCUGAUGUGUACCACCUAGGGGCUGAUGUGUACCACCUAGGGGCUGAUGUAUCCUAUCUAGGGGCUGAUGUAUCCUAUCUAGGGGCUGAUGUAUCCUAUCUAGGGGCUGAUGUAUCCUACCUAGGGGCUGAUGUAUCCUACCUAGGGGCUGAUGUAUCCCACCUAGGGGCUGAUGUAUCCCACCUAGGGGCUGAUGUAUCCCACCUAGGGGCUGAUGUAUCCCACCUAGGGGCUGAUGUAUCCCACCUAGGGGCUGAUGUAUCCCAUCUAGGGGCUGAUGUAUCCUACCUAGGGGCUGAUGUAUCCUACCUAGGGGCUGAUGUAUCCUAUCUAGGGGCUGAUGUGUACCACCUAGGGGCUGAUGUGUACCACCUAGGGGCUGAUGUAUCCUAUCUAGGGGCUGAUGUAUCCUAUCUAGGGGCUGAUGUAUCCUAUCUAGGGGCUGAUGUAUCCUACCUAGGGGCUGAUGUAUCCUACCUAGGGGCUGAUGUAUCCCACCUAGGGGCUGAUGUAUCCCACCUAGGGGCUGAUGUAUCCCACCUAGGGGCUGAUGUAUCCCACCUAGGGGCUGAUGUAUCCCACCUAGGGGCUGAUGUAUCCCAUCUAGGGGCUGAUGUAUCCUACCUAGGGGCUGAUGUAUCCUACCUAGGGGCUGAUGUAUCCUAUCUAGGGGCUGAUGUAUACCACCUAGGGGCUGAUGUAUACCACCUAGGGGCUGAUGUAUCCCACCUAGGGGCUGAUGUAUCCCACCUAGGGGCUGAUGUAUCCCACCUAGGGGCUGAUGUAUCCUACCUAGGGGUGGAUGUAUCCCACCUAGGGGCGGAUGUAUCCCAUCUAGGGGCUGAUGUAUCCUACCUAGGGGCUGAUGUAUCCCACCUAGGGGCUGAUGUAUACCACCUAGGGGCUGAUGUAUCCCAUCUAGGGGCUGAUGUAUCCCACCUAGGGGCUGAUGUGUACCACCUAGGGGCUGAUGUGUACCACCUAGGGGCUGAUGUGUACCACCUAGGGGCUGAUGUAUCCCACCUAGGGGUGGAUGUAUCCCACCUAGGGGCUGAUGUAUCCCACCUAGGGGCUGAUGUAUACCACCUAGGGGUGGAUGUAUCCCACCUAGGGGCUGAUGUAUCCCACCUAGGGGUGGAUGUAUCCCACCUAGGGGCUGAUGUAUCCCACCUAGGGGCUCAUGUAUCCCACCUAGGGGCUGAUGUAUCCCACCUAGGGGCUGAUGUAUCCUACCUAGGGGCUGAUGUAUCCCAUCUAGGGGCUGAUGUAUCCUACCUAGGGGCUGAUGUAUCCCACCUAGGGGCUCAUGUAUCCCACCUAGGGGCUGAUGUAUACCACCUAGGGGCUGAUGUAUCCCACCUAGGGGCUGAUGUAUCCCACCUAGGGGCUGAUGUAUCCCACCUAGGGCAAUCCUGGGUGGGAUACAGCAUACACUAA